rnacentral:rRNA from 1 species
UUUAGUACGAGAGGACCGAGGUGGACGUACCUCUGGUGGACCAGUUGUCAUGCCAAUGGCACAGCUGGGUAGCUAAGUACGGAAGGGAUAACCGCUGAAUGCAUCUAAGCAGGAAACUCACCUCAAAACUAGACUUCCCCAUCAGAGCCGUGGAAGACCACCACGUUGAUAGGUCGGGUGUGGAAGCGCAGUAAUGCGUGUAGCUAACCGAUACUAAUAGCUCGAUUGAUUUACUUUG